rnacentral:rRNA from 1 species
UACGUAGGCAGCGAGCGUUUGUUCGGAAUUACUGGGCGUAAAGAGUGUGUAGGCGGUGCUCUAAGUUCGGUGUGAAAUCCCUCGGCUUAACCGGGGAACUGCGUCUGAUACUGGAUGGCUUGAGUUCGGGAGAGGGAUGCGGAAUUCCAGGUGUAGCGGUGAAAUGCGUAGAUAUCUGGAGGAACACCAGUGGCGGAAGGCGACUUCCUGGCCUGUUCUUGACGCUGAGGCGCGAAAGCUAGGGGUAGCAAACGGG